AGGGGGAGCCGGGCGCUAAAGGAGACGAUGGACAGCCUGGGUCAUCUGGACUGCCUGGGCGACAAGGGGAAAGGGGGGAGACAGGUGAUAUGGGUCAGAAGGGAGAGAGCGGUCUGGAUGGAAUCGGUUUACCUGGACCUCCGGGGCCUCCUGGACCAGUCAUCAACCUACAUGAGUUGAUGCUGAAUGACACUGAAGGAAUCUUUAACCUCUCAGGGAUUUUUGAACCACAAGGACCAUUGG